UUGAACAUUGUUUGAUUUUUAAUCUUGCUUAUGUUUGGAAAAUAUCCUUAAAAUGAUCUAUAUAUACUUAUUUUUAUGUUUCGAAAAUACCUUUAACAAUUUUAUCCUACACUGCAUGUACUAGAUUACUGUAUCACAAUGGCUUGGUUUUAUAUUUUCAUUUGUGGAGUGCACAUGCUAUGUCCUGCUGCAUGAAUGAUGCUGCAUGAAUGAAGAGCUACCAACGUAGUAGCCUGGUAGUAAGGGGGCGAUAAUUCUGUCUGAGUUGCCUGGGUUCGAAAUGUGCAGACGUCGAUUAAAUUAGGAGACCAGAUACCCCACGCCCGAUUGGCUCGUUGGUGGUUAUGCUUUUCUUCUACUUGUACCAAGAUGGUGCUGGAGUGACGUACCUACACGUGAAAGCGAUGAGCCCACAGGUCGGAGAAGGCACGCGAAACCUACGACCUGUAUCGAACACUUUUUAGUAGAAAGAGAGCUCAGUGGGGGUGGGCUGGUCCCUCCCCUCUCUC
rnacentral:lncRNA from 1 species